rnacentral:rRNA from 1 species
CACUUCGCUGACGAGUGGCGGACGGGUGAGUAAUGCUUGGGAACUUGCCUUUGCGAGGGGGAUAACAGUUGGAAACGACUGCUAAUACCGCAUAAUGUCUACGGACCAAACGGGGCUUAGGCUCCGGCGCAAAGAGAGGCCCAAGUGAGAUUAGCUAGUUGGUAAGGUAAAGGCUUACCAAGGCAACGAUCUCUAGCUGUUCUGAGAGGAAGAUCAGCCACACUGGGACUGAGACACGGCCCAGACUCCUACGGGAGGCAGCAGUGGGGAAUAUUGCACAAUGGGGGAAACCCUGAUGCAGCCAUGCCGCGUGUGUGAAGAAGGCCUUCGGGUUGUAAAGCACUUUCAGUUGUGAGGAAAAGUUAGUAGUUAAUACCUGCUAGCCGUGACGUUAACAACAGAAGAAGCACCGGCUAACUCCGUGCCAGCAGCCGCGGUAAUACGGAGGGUGCGAGCGUUAAUCGGAAUUACUGGGCGUAAAGCGCACGCAGGCGGUUUGUUAAGCUAGAUGUGAAAGCCCCGGGCUCAACCUGGGAUGGUCAUUUAGAACUGGCAGACUAGAGUCUUGGAGAGGGGAGUGGAAUUCCAGGUGUAGCGGU